GAUGAACGCUAGCGGGAGGCUUAACACAUGCAAGUCGAGCGGUAAGGCAGCAAUGCCUGAGAGCGGCGCACGGGUGCGUAACGCGUAUGCAACCUGCCUUAUACAGGGGAAUAGCCCAUGGAAACGUGGAUUAAUGUCCCAUAGGACUACGGAUUCGCAUGGAUUUGGGAUUAAAACUGAGGUGGUAUAAGAUGGGCAUGCGUCUGAUUAGGUAGUUGGUAGGGUAAUGGCCUACCAAGCCGACGAUCAGUAGGGGUUCUGAGAGGAUUACCCCCCACACUGGUACUGAGACACGGACCAGACUCCUACGGGAGGCAGCAGUGAGGAAUAUUGGUCAAUGGCCGGAAGGCUGAACCAGCCAUCCCGCGUGCAGGAUGACGGCCCUAUGGGUUGUAAACUGCUUUUGUACCUGAAGAAACCUGUUUACGAGUAGACAGUUGCCGGUAAGGUAUGAAUAAGCAUCGGCUAACUCCGUGCCAGCCGCCGCGGUAAUAC
rnacentral:rRNA from 1 species